rnacentral:rRNA from 1 species
UACAGAGGAGCCAAGCGUUGUCCGGAUUGACUGGGCGUAAAGCGCACGCAGGCGGACGCGCGCGAGGGGUUGUGAAAUCUGGACCGCUUAACGGCCAGGCGCCAUCCCAUAACGGCGCGUCUGGAGUGAUGCAGAGGUCGAUGGAAUUGCCGGUGUAGUGGUGAAAUGCGUAGAUAUCGAGAGGAACACCUGCGGCGAAGGCGGGUUGCUGGGCCGACACUGACGCUGGAGGC